UUUCUAGGUUACUUCACCAUUUGCAGCACCUAAAGUCAGAGAGAAACGAAAGCUUGGGAUUUAAAUUCCACGGCCUGUUACAGUCUGUCUAAAUUACUGCAGAUCAAAACCCUAUGUACCCUCUAUGAAUUACACUGGAAAUGAGCAAAACCUGUGAUUGCCUUGCCUAAAAAUUUAAGGUGAUGCCUGUAACAGUUUCACAGAAUUUCUGCUCAGGCUAAGCAUACUUAAAGCAAAAUUAUGCACCUGGUACUCCUACAGCUCAGGCCCAGCAGGCCCCUUGAACAGAGCCCUUUUAGGAACUUUGUGAUAAUCUCAGGAGUGUGCUGCUUCUUUUUCCAGAGAAAAAGAGCAUUAUGCCAGGUCCUCAGCACAAAAAAAAAAAAAAAAAAAAAAAGACAGAAUUAAGUUCCCUGUGGGUCCUACAGGACAAGCUGCCCAUUGCUGUCAGCUGGGGCUUGGGCAGGUCAGGAUCUGACAGAAUUAACAGUUUACAGCUGAGCAAGGAUAGGCAGGACCCUGCAAUGUGUUCUUGUGCUCCUCAAGGUAAAGAAUUCACAGCAGCUCAUCUUCUUAUUGCACUUGGGGAAUUAGGAUGGAUGUGCACUUUUGAAAGCUCUGUCAGCCAGACAUUGUCCAGUGAAUGCCUGUAUCCACAUUUAUCCUGAAAUUUCCAGUAAGAGCACCUGGCUUCAUUCCUCUCAGAAACCUGCAACCGGUGUUUCCAUCAGCAGCUCAGCCCCUGAGGUCCUGUAAACUGGAGGCCACAUCCCUCCUUCAGGUGAGAGAAAUCAAAAUCCGGGGAACAAGCUCUGCUAACACCCAGCUCUCACCAGCACCAGCUUGUGAACUCUGCUGCACAGGCUCACCAGAGCUAAACAGAGCUCAACGCCAUCUGCUCCAUGGCUUGCUUGAGUCCCCCUAUAGUGUUAUUAAGUUAUUCUCUAGUUACUUAUAUAAAAUUUAAGUACCAUAUGUAGUGGUGAAAAGACAGAAAAUAACAGCUGAUAGCUAUUGGCACUAUGAAGAGCUACUGGUACCAAGAGAAGUGCUGGAAAAAUUUUUAAGCUCAAAGCCAGAGUGGGUAUGAAGAGCCUAGGAAAUACCCUCUGAAUGCUGGAGAAAUCAAGUAUUUUUGCAGUAAAGUACUGUGCCUGUUCAAGCCUGAUCCAAUUUAUAUUGCAAUAUUUAACUCCUUGUGGACUUUGAUGCCUUUCUGGAAGCUGUGCUUUCAUCAGCUGUUACUGAGCUUGCUCCGGGCCUAUGUGAAAUGGGAGGAUGUGUUUGGAGUGCAGGACAAACUGGGUGAUGCCACUGUGUCCUCUGGCCAUCAUCUACUGCUUCCACAGCUUAAAUUCUUGACUAGGAUGAAUGGAUAAAAUAGGUGAAAACUGUACAGAUUUUUAAUAGGAAAAAUAUGUAGUGAAAGUUUCAUAAAAAUACAUGCCUUUAAGAAUGUUCAGGUAGUUUUCUCUCAUGAAUAUUGCUUUAGAUAGCUGAGGUGAGGUUUUGUAGGAUGUGGGGGUUGCCUUUUUUACAUUUCUGUCUACUUUAAAGAAAGAAACAAACCCUUUCAUCGGUGUUCCUAUGAUCAUUGUUUUCACCCUAAGAGAGUGAAAGCUGCUCACCACCCCUCCUUACAAAGCUACUGCUACAAACCAGCUGUUAAAACAUUUUCUGACCUACCUCUAUCUCUGGCAUAAAAGCAGCACAUUAAAAACCAAACAUUAUGGAUUCCCUGAAGAAUAUGACCUUCUGGAGUUUAGCAUUUAGACUUUUUUGUAUGGUCCUCCAAAUCUGUUGUCAUGCUGUAGAGAUCCUGAGAUAGUUUGCUGUUUUUUGCUUGCACCCAAGGUCUUCUUUGCUAUUGAAGUUUCUGAAGCAUCUCCUCCUCAGUCAGAACUACUUAAUUCCUGGAAGAUUGUGACAGCUUCCUGCCCUUUCCCAAGAGAAGCUAUUCUUCCUUAAUUAUGCUGAAGUUGCCAAUGCUAAAUUAGGUACCUACAAGCAAGAGAGUGUCUGAAUCCACCCUCCGACUCUUGUCUUCCCUAGGAAUGUGCUGCAAAUACUAACACCUGUGAAAAGGUACUGGGAAAUGGGAAAAAUUUUUCUUCUCCUCCCUUGCUGUCAAAUCUGUAGAGCAGAGACAGAAAGGCCUGGCCACUGCAGCGACCAGUAUUUUCAAGAAUUUUGUUUUCAUAUACUAGUGAAUACUUCCCUCUGCAGGAAGCUUUAAGCUGACAGCAGUCACAGCCUCUGGCAGUGUAAAAAAAAUGCUCAAAGCCUGGAGCAGGAUCUUACAGAAGAUAUUUGUGUUCUUAUAAUUCUUGAAAUUUCACCCACCUUCAAGCAGUACCUAAGAUUUUUUUUUUUCUAUUCCCAUGAGCAGCUAUUUGUAUUCUAAAAUUCUAGAAAUUCAACCUUAUUUGACAGCGGUUGCACUGUUAAAUCCUUUUCCAUGGUAGUUGUGCAGCAUCCCUAUCUUUGGAAAAGGCUUGUGCCAUCUGGGUCCCAAAUGGCUGCUACCAUACCUCAUAGCAGGUGCCAUCCCAGUGGCUUGAGCACUCCUUUCACGGCAGGAUGGGCCUGGCUCCUGAGAAGGCUAAGGGUUACUGAUGCAGUCUUUGAUUCAGCCAUUUAACCCCUUCUGUCUCUUAAAGUUAGCCACAGACAGCUUGGAACGAUUUCUGCCAUGGGGGCUCCUCGUUAGUAGGGUGAACAACUCUGGUAGAGAAAGGAGCUCUCCAUGACUGCUUUAAGCCCUUCCUUUGCCUGCCUGUUUGGGGCCUGUCCAGCCUGUAAAUGCAGCAAAGCUGUGUUUAAGACUGCUGGAUCAUUACCUGUUUUCUUUCCCCUGGUCUAACAUGGACACUAAACAGUAUGAAGAGAUGAUAAACUGAUCAUUCUUUGUUAUACAUGGCAAUUGCUGUCAAUAAAUUUGCGAAAGAGAGGACUUAGAACAACUGACUUCUUGGGGAUGGCUUUUUGCACAUUCAAGAAUGUGCACUAACCCAGAAUCUUCCAGGUGAAAAUUAUUAAAUUUUAAAAUUUAAUAUUUUUAAAUUUCCAUUUAUUUACUAACUCUUGUUCAUUGUUAUCUAGGAUGCUAACUUUGGUUCCCCCAUCCCAGACAAGAUAGUAAUAAUGUUAGAGGGAGAAGGAAUUUAAAAAAAGGGCAAAUAGAAUAAAAUGGUAACUGUAAGAAUAACGACCUCCUUUCCUUAUUUAGGGCAAGUUUUUUGAUGUAGUGGGUGUAGCUCAAUGUAACAACUUUGCUUCACCAGUCAGUGACCUCUACUUUCAGAGGGCCUUUUAGUUUCUACACCAGUUACAGAACAGGGUCAUACACCAAUUUACUUUUUACAUUAUACAAAAGUAUGCAAAAAAAAAAAAAAAAGGCAACACUGUGUUCUGUCACAACCUUUUCAGAAGAAAUACAUGGUGGUUUAUUUUCCAGAGGAUAAUAAGCUCCAGUGAGAUUUUUAUAAACAUGAAAAAUAUGUUUGCUAUUUUGCACACUGAUUAGAGAUUUCUAAUGAUGUAUUCUAUAUAAACUUCAAAAAGCCUGAAUUACAGCAACUGUGUGCUACUGCUGCUUCAGCUGCUUAUUCCUUACACCACUGUUCUUAGCUGUAGAACAAAGACAAAUUCUGCCUGAGGGUUGUAUUUGGCUGGCAUCAACCUAAUACUCAUUACACUCAAAUGCUUGAUAAUGGUUCAGUACGGUCACACAUGUUGGCAAUAUUGAAAAUAGCUGCCAAGAGAAAUGCUCAUGUUAAUAAUAAUGGGAUUCGCUAGUUUGUAGCAAAACUGUUUGCGUUUUUUUUUUGCCUCAGUUGGAAAUCUGAUCAAGAAGGAUGUUACACACCUGAAAAAUGCAAUCCCCUGACUUUCUACAGUACUGGGCAGGACCUCCUUCUGUCAACUGAGAUACUUUUGUUUGCAUCUCUUCCUCUGGUAUUCACUCUACUGUUAUGCAAUCUUUGUGCACCUUGGUCCAUAGCUCCCUUCAUUAGCUAACAAUACCAAUUUUACCUCGGUUUGCUGGGUCCAGAUUUCCAUCAGAAAUGCAAAAACCUAAGUCUUCAUCAAGACACUUGAAAAAUAAAAUUGAACUUAUUUCAGUAGUCUGUAGACUAGAAUUCUCAGGCUGCCAGGAAAAUCCUUUAAAUUACCAAUCCUGUGUCUUAUCAGCCUUAUACUGUAUCAUUCUACUUCAAACUGAUUUUUGUCUUGGCCUUAGGAGCCACUUGGUUUAAACGCGGAUUAAACAAGUUCCCUGUUCCCUUUCCUCAUAAGUGUUUUAGGAAAUCCUAACCUUUUAACAACUUUCACUUGCAAUAACAGUUAAUCAACUAACUUGCCUUCCAAGAAUUACUUUUCUUUUUUAAGUCUUCACUCAGCCCCUUAAUCACUGAGUUUUGUUCAGCAGAGCACUGGAGCUCUGGCCAAAGCUUGUUAUUACAGAAAGAAAGUGAAUCCUGCAAAGUAAGUUUGUGAAAGUACCAUGUCUAAAAUAAUAAUUUAUUUUUCUUUUACACACACCAAGUAUGAACAGCAUAAAUUUAAUAUAAAUGUUAAUUCGUGUACAGAAGUCAAACACAUUAUUUCAACAUUAGAAAUUGCAACAUGUAAAAGAAUUAUUAUGUAGCUAAUAUCAAAUGCAAAUAAAAUGAAACUGCUGUAACUGCACCUAAAUUAACAGCAAAAGGACAAUUUAAUAUGGUGAUGAAAUACACUGAACCAAAAUACAUAGUGGACCACAACAGUUGAUUGCUUUUAAGAAAAAAAUUUCAACUUGAAGUCUUUCCAUUGCAUUGUUUUCUGUCUACAUAAUAUUCCUUUCUGACAAACAAUUUUCAGAUACAACAGCUUACAAACGAUACUUGCAUAGAUAAGGCCCUUAGACAUUUUAACCACCUGGUCCAUUCCUUGUCAAUUGAACUGAAACGAUGUAUAAAAUUCCAAAAAGAAGUCUGGUCUACAGUAUUAGUUUCAGAUUGUUAAGAAGGUUAAAAAAAGGUUGGUUUAUUUUGUCAUUCAAUAAAUAAAGCACUUGACUGAGAAAUGCCAAAUAGUCACAAUAAAAAUAAAGAUGGCUCACUCAAAAUGAAUUACACGUAUCUGAUUUUAAAAAUCAAAAACUAUUUUCAGUUUAAUGCUAAACAAUGUUUUUUAAGAAGAACACGGCCUGAUUAGAAAGUGAGCAAGCUGCUGUUCCACAUGGCUACCACAGGCAAGCACAGGUGCUGGUUUCAAGGGACAGCCUGGAUAAAAGUAAGGCCUUUAUGAAUAUUAAAGCACACGUUUGUCCCAACAGGGAGGUGCUAACAACAGGAAACACAACCUAGGGAGCUGUACAUUAAAGCACAUGUAAUCUGUAUCUGUCAAGAUUUUUUUUGCCUGUUUUUGUCUCCAAGAAUUAACUAAGGUAUUGAACCUCAAUUUGUUUUGUGUUAUGACUACAGCAAUGUAGCCUGGUGGUACAUUAAUGUAGAGUCCUUCAAAAUACCAGUUUUCCAUUUGUGCACUGCUAGAUCAGAAGCAAAAAUUUUAUUGGACAUGUUCUUCCUGUAAAAUUUUGCAUCAAGUUAAUGGAAGCAAACUUGCAGAUGGUACUUAAGUCUCAUAUUAUGCAUGUUUAUGAUUGCUAGAAUGGUGUUCAUUGUUUUGUUGGUGGGAUUUCUUAACAUUUGUUUAAGAUUUAUUACAUACAAUAGACGCUGAAAAAAUUCUGUGUGAAAAUACAAGAA